rnacentral:lncRNA from 1 species
AUUUUACAGUUUGACCGAGACCUCAAGUCUGUGGGUCCCGCCUGGUGUGUGGCAUUUUCACUCCCUGGGGGCAGACCCAGCAUCUGUUCAGCCUGUGAGGCUUGUUCUGACCUCUUCCAUGCUUGAGGGAUGUAACAGCCUUCAUUUUCCAUGGCUGGCUCUUCUCUGCCACUUGCUCAAGCUUUGCUCCCACCUUGCCCUUGACCUGGUAGGGGAGGGAGGGAGUCCACGCAGGCAGGCCCCAGCAGCUCACCUCUGCUCUCCGCCCUCAUUUCGAACGACUGACCUCUGGCUUUGGUUUCAGAUCUUCGGCAUCUUCCUGGCAAGGACCCUGAUCUCAGACAUUGAGGCAGUGAAGGCAGGCCAUCACUUCUGAGGCGCAGGUGCAGCAGAUGGAGCUGAGCCACAUGGAGAGGUCAAGCCUUUCACUGUCCAGCAGCGGCAGAAGUCGACAUUAGCCACCUACAACCAGACCCCAGUCUUCCGCAUCAGCACGAUAUGGCCUCUCUGUUUCUUCUUGCUGGUGCUGAAGGCCAAGGCCCCUUCUCAUCUGCUCACACUUGACAUGGCACCUCUGAAGGCCCAGAGACAGAGAAUGUGUUUUUAUGUGGAGUAGUAACUCUGAGGACAGAUGGGCUCCCAUGGCCGCAGGAAAGGCUUAAUGGCCCUUACAGAGCCCAAGAGCAUCUGCAGGUCCCCACCUACUCAGUAAGGCUUAG